AUGUUUCUCUUCCUCCUCUUCCUCCUCACCUACUUCACUGGCGCCUUGGCCCAGUCCACUUUGACUCAACCACCUUCUUUGUCAGCAUCGCUUGGAGAGACAGUCAGGAUCACCUGUGAAAGGACAGGUGGCAGCAUUUCAAGCAACUAUGUGAGCUGGCAUCAGCAGAAACCUGGCAGUAGUCCUCUCACAGUGAUCUAUGCAGAUAGCAGCAGACCUUCUGGAAUCCCCGAGCGAUUUUCUGGUUCUGUUGAUUCUUCGUCCAAUUCGGCCACCUUGUCCAUCUCCAACAUUGAAGGAGAAGACGAGGCACAUUAUUACUGUUUAGUUGCUGAUAACAGCGGGCAGAGCACAGUGAUUCCACCCUCCUGUAAGGAGCCUGUGGACAGCCCUGGAACUGCAUUGGACCAUUGA